AGCUCCAAUAGCGUAUAUUUAAGUUGUUGCAGUUAAAAAGCUCGUAGUUGGAUUUCGGCUUUGGGCGACCGGUCCGCCGUUUCGGUGUGCACUGGUCGGCCUUUGCUUUCUGUCGGGGACGCGCUCUCCUUAAUUGGUGACGCGGAGUCGGCGCUGUUACUUUGAAAAAAUUAGAGUGUUCAAGGCAGGCUUACGCUCUGAAUACUAUAGCAUGGAAUAACACGAUAGGACUCCGAGCCUAUUUUGUUGGUCUUCGGGACCGGAGUAAUGAUUAAGAGGGACAGUUGGGGGCAUUCGUAUUCCGAUGUCAGAGGUGAAAUUCUUGGAUUUUCGGAAGACGAACUUCUGCGAAAGCAUUUGCCAAGGAUGUUU
rnacentral:rRNA from 1 species